UCCUUUUCUUUCUAUAAAUAGAGGCUACUGGUGGUCUAUUAUAGGUCAUCCCCUCACUUUUCUCUCUCCCUCUCGCUCGCUCUCUCUCUCUCUCUCCUCCUCUAAUCCAUUAUACACCUUUCCUUUUAAAGAAACUUUCUUUUUAUUAUUAUUAUCAUGCUAUCUUCUAAUCAAAUUUCUUUUUUUCAUCUGCUCAGCAAGAAAAAAAUAAAAAACACAAAGAAAAGAAAACCAGAUUCUUUUCAUAAAUUAAAAAAAAAAGUUGAAAAACCAAUAGAAUUGGGACUUGGGGGAGAAGGAGGCACUGGUGAUGUUGUUGACAGAAGAUAGAGAGCACAGAUGAUGAUAUGCAAUGGACUCUGCAUCCCACUCCUUUGUGCUCUCUAUGCUUCUGUCAUCACUUUCAGCCCCGAGCCCCUCCUCCUCCUCCUCCUCCUCUAUUUCUUUGCUCAAUCUUCCAUGAUUUUGCUUUGUUUCAAUCUAUAUGUCAUUAAUGUUUUCUUUAGUUUGCAAGCGCAGGGCAAGUAACAUUUCAGAUAACGGAAAGGGGGGGUCUUGAUAUUCGAAGUGAUUUCUCAGCAUGUAUAAGGAUCAUAUUUGUUCCCUGGCUAUAUAUAACCAAAAUAGCCAACUACCAGUGAUUGAUAGACCGUAUAAGAGGUACCAAGUACAUGCUUUGUGAGAGAAGGGCCAUCCUAAUUAUUGGUGUUUUAAUUUUUGGUAUAUAUUAAUGGUGUGUUUUUCCGUGAAGGAGUGUGUAAAGCUGAGCAAAGGAUAUUAGUUCCAGGCACAAAACAGGACGAAUAGGGCUGAAGUUCUCGAGGUGAUCAGUUUAGUAUGAUGGUUUUGAUCGUUAUCAGUACAAAAGUACCACAAAUUUCUUUUCUUGCUUUAAAGGUUGAGCCUGGAUCACGAAUCUGAUCAUACAGUUAUUAUAAAUGAUAUACAUAUAUAAUUACGCUCAGAUCUGUUAAAUUCUAUUUACCAGAGGUUCUUAUCUUUAAGUAUUAAAUAGCCUAAAACAUGAUUUAAUAAGCAGUCCAUAAUAAGAUCAUUUUAUGUGUGAUUCUUUUGGAUUUGCAUUUUUCUUGACAAGGGCCUAUGAAGGAUCAUCUUCGACUUUCAUGUGUGCUUGUAUAAUUCUAUACUUUAUCUACAUCAAUUGAAUGAUUCGAUUCAUCAAGUCUUGUGUGGAUCAAGUGUACUACUAGAUUCAUUAUAUAUAUAGUUGACUAGUUGCAGACCUUCCACUAGAUUUUUCUUCUUUUGGCAGUCAGAUUUACUGAUGCAAAGAUGCCAAUUAAUCCUCUUUUUUUUUUUUUGCUAGCAAAAAACUAAUGGUUCACAAGUUCUCAUGUUUAUGCUCUUUAGAAUCCCACAAGAUGAUUUUAGAAGAAGAAGAAGAAGAAGAAUCAAGGGGAAAGAUCAGAGAGACCACUGCUUAACUCUUCACAUAAGUCUAUGUCGACACCAGCAGUUGUAUGUCUCAUGUUUGCUUGUUUCUUCCUGACGAUAGGCUUCUUUUAAGAUUAUUGAUUAUAAACUGGUCGCAAAACCAAAAUUGAAAAGAAAAAGAAAAAGAUUUUGUUACA